AUGCACAUAUUGUGAGCUCGAUGAGUAGGGCGGGACACGUGGUAUCCUGUCUGAAUAUGGGGGGACCAUCCUCCAAGGCUAAAUACUCCUGACUGACCGAUAGUGAACCAGUACCGUGAGGGAAAGGCGAAAAGAACCCCGGCGAGGGGAGUGAAAAAGAACCUGAAACCGUGUACGUACAAGCAGUGGGAGCACGCUUAGGCGUGUGACUGCGUACCUUUUGUAUAAUGGGUCAGCGACUUAUAUUCUGUAGCAAGGUUAACCGAAUAGGGGAGCCGAAGGGAAACCGAGUCUUAACUGGGCGUUAAGUUGCAGGGUAUAGACCCGAAACCCGGUGAUCUAGCCAUGGGCAGGUUGAAGGUUGGGUAACACUAACUGGAGGACCGAACCGACUAAUGUUGAAAAAUUAGCGGAUGACUUGUGGCUGGGGGUGAAAGGCCAAUCAAACCGGGAGAUAGCUGGUUCUCCCCGAAAGCUAUUUAGGUAGCGCCUCGUGAAUUCAUCUCCGGGGGUAGAGCACUGUUUCGGCAAGGGGGUCAUCCCGACUUACCAACCCGAUGCAAACUGCGAAUACCGGAGAAUGUUAUCACGGGAGACACACGGCGGGUGCUAACGUCCGUCGUGAAGAGGGAAACAACCCAGACCGCCAGCUAAGGUCCCAAAGUCAUGGUUAAGUGGGAAACGAUGUGGGAAGGCCCAGACAGCCAGGAUGUUGGCUUAGAAGCAGCCAUCAUUUAAAGAAAGCGUAAUAGCUCACUGGUCGAGUCGGCCUGCGCGGAAGAUGUAACGGGGCUAAACCAUGCACCGAAGCUGCGGCAGCGACGCUUAUGCGUUGUUGGGUAGGGGAGCGUUCUGUAAGCCUGUGAAGGUGUGCUGUGAGGCAUGCUGGAGGUAUCAGAAGUGCGAAUGCUGACAUAAGUAACGAUAAAGCGGGUGAAAAGCCCGCUCGCCGGAAGACCAAGGGUUCCUGUCCAACGUUAAUCGGGGCAGGGUGAGUCGACCCCUAAGGCGAGGCCGAAAGGCGUAGUCGAUGGGAAACAGGUUAAUAUUCCUGUACUUGGUGUUACUGCGAAGGGGGGACGGAGAAGGCUAUGUUGGCCGGGCGACGGUUGUCCCGGUUUAAGCGUGUAGGCUGGUUUUCCAGGCAAAUCCGGAAAAUCAAGGCUGAGGCGUGAUGACGAGGCACUACGGUGCUGAAGCAACAAAUGCCCUGCUUCCAGGAAAAGCCUCUAAGCAUCAGGUAACAUCAAAUCGUACCCCAAACCGACACAGGUGGUCAGGUAGAGAAUACCAAGGCGCUUGAGAGAACUCGGGUGAAGGAACUAGGCAAAAUGGUGCCGUAACUUCGGGAGAAGGCACGCUGAUAUGUAGGUGAAGCGACUUGCUCGUGGAGCUGAAAUCAGUCGAAGAUACCAGCUGGCUGCAACUGUUUAUUAAAAACACAGCACUGUGCAAACACGAAAGUGGACGUAUACGGUGUGACGCCUGCCCGGUGCCGGAAGGUUAAUUGAUGGGGUCAGCGCAAGCGAAGCUCUUGAUCGAAGCCCCGGUAAACGGCGGCCGUAACUAUAACGGUCCUAAGGUAGCGAAAUUCCUUGUCGGGUAAGUUCCGACCUGCACGAAUGGCGUAAUGAUGGCCAGGCUGUCUCCACCCGAGACUCAGUGAAAUUGAACUCGCUGUGAAGAUGCAGUGUACCCGCGGCAAGACGGAAAGACCCCGUGAACCUUUACUAUAGCUUGACACUGAACAUUGAGCCUUGAUGUGUAGGAUAGGUGGGAGGCUUAGAAGUGUGGACGCCAGUCUGCAUGGAGCCGGCCUUGAAAUACCACCCUUUAAUGUUUGAUGUUCUAACGU
rnacentral:rRNA from 1 species